GUCGGGAAUAUUGGGCAAUGGGCGAAAGCCUGACCCAGCGACGCCGCGUGAGGGAAGAAGGCCUUCGGGUCGUAAACCUCUGUCAUCGGGGACGAAGGAAGUGACGGUACCCGAGGAGGAAGCCCCUGCUAACUACGUGCCAGCAGCCGCGGUAAUACGUAGGGGGCGAGCGUUGUCCGGAGUUAUUGGGCGUAAAGGGCGUGUAGGCGGCCUGUUAAGUCAGGUGUGAAAUUUCAGGGCUUAACCCUGAACCUGCGCUUGAAACUGGCAGGCUAGAGGACAGGAGAGGGAAGUGGAAUUCCCGGUGUAGCGGUGGAAUGCGUAGAUAUCGGGAGGAACACCAGUGGCGAAGGCGGCUUCCUGGACUGUACCUGACGCUGAGGCGCGAAAGCUAGGGGAGCAAACAGGAUUAGAAACCCUAGUAGUCC
rnacentral:rRNA from 1 species